rnacentral:sRNA from 1 species
UUCGGAGCUGGGGCCUUGCACUUCCUAGGCAAGCGCUCUACCACUGAGCUAAAUCCCCAACCCCCUGCUUCAGCUUUUGAAGGGAGCUUUUAGCGGACACACCUGCCAUGCCAAGUGUAGUUGGAACAUUGACCCCAAGGAGAAACGUCCUUCUUUCAUCCAGUAGGUUGGAGUUUCCAAACCAGACCCCGCACUCUUAGACCUAACCAGGAGGGCAGACUUGUCGGUUUGAUUUUUCCACUCGAUGUUACUUUCAGAUGGCCACGCGGCGAAUUCCCUUUGAGGUUUCCAGUCUUAUAACGCAAGUCUCAGCACACUUUGCUCUGCAACAUCUCAUCUGUAGAAAAUCCCCAAGUCUCCGAGGCGUCGUCGUUUACUCAUCAUGGCACCCUGAGAAUCCCAGCAGGCUCAGGAAUCAGCUCAAACGCGGGGAUUCGCUCUGCCGAAGCCCUUAUUAGCUAAAAGCCUGGAUCCUCAUAUGAGCAGGCGACAGUGAAGAGGGGAGAGGAGAAACCGGACGUGAAGGCUUUACGAUGGAGAUAGAGGUCCCAUAAGCUCAGCAAGCCAGUCAACAGAUGUGCCUGUUAAUCGGAAGGAUGUCAGCUAUAAAGACACACUCAGCUCUGGUGCGUGGUGCACACACCUGUGCGCCCAGUACUCAGGAGGCAAGGAAACACUGGAUUAUUGUA